rnacentral:pre_miRNA from 1 species
GAUUAAUGGACUUUUAAUAUAUAAUAGAUAGAUGUUUAACCAUCUGUCUUAUUUGAAUUUUUUUUAGAUUAAUAUUUUUAUUGUUAUUAGAUGAUAAAACAUGGAUAACAAUACAUAUGUGACUAUUUUUUAAAAAAAAUUAAUAAAAUUUUUAAAUAAAACGUACUGUCAAACGUUGGACAUGGAAAUUCACAACUGUAUUUAAA